rnacentral:rRNA from 1 species
UAGGUGGCUCGAAAGAGAACCGUAACACAGGUGCUGCAUGGCUGUCGUCAGCUCGUGUCGUGAGAUGUUGGGUUAAGUCCCGCAACGAGCGCAACCCUUGUCAUUAGUUGCUACAUUUUAGUUGGGCACUCUAGUGAGACUGCCGGUGACAAACCGGAGGAAGGUGGGGAUGACGUCAAGUCCUCAUGGCCCUUAUAGGUGGGGCUACACACGUCAUACAAUGGCUGGUACAAAGGGUUGCCAACCCGCGAGGGGGAGCUAAUCCCAUAAAACCAGUCGUAGUCCGGAUCGCAGUCUGCAACUCGACUGCGUGAAGUCGGAAUCGCUAGUAAUCGUGGAUCAGAAUGUCACGGUGAAUACGUUCCUCGGCCUUGUACACACCGAGAA